CGCUUCGUCUCUCAUAAACGAAGAAGCCCUUGGUCCCUUCGUCUCCGGAAAAAACUCAUCACCUCCGAUCUCUACCCUCGAGCUCAUCUCCGAUCUCGAGCUCAUCUCCGAUCUCUCUCCUCAAGCUCGAGCCCCACCUUUGAUCUCCUCUUGCCUGAAUCUCGAGCUUCAUCCUGGAUCUCCUCUCUCCUCGGGGCCUGUGAUCUCCUCUCCCCUCGAGCGCAAGCGCCACCUUCGACUUUCUCUCAAGUGCUCAAGGAUCAGAUCAGAAACCCUAGAUAGGUAAGCCUAAAGGAUCAGAUAUCGUGCUGGAAGCAAUACUGGAAGCAGAGGUGGCUCAAAAUGCCAAACAUUUCUUCUCACAGCCAGGGAACCAGAUACCUGAAGAUAUACCAAAACGAUGUCGCAGGGAAGAGCGAGGAGGGUCGUGCAUUGUAGCCGGUGUAAUCAGUCGCGGGGAAGAGCCGGUGUAAUCAGUUAGAACUACUUGUGCAGCUCCUUUAUGAAACAAGGUUUCUCUGCAAUAAUGAGAAAAGUUUAGAUUCAUCAUAUAGUCUGUGUUCUUUCUUUUUUAGCUUGUAGAGAGUUUUGAAUUAUAGUGAAUAUUGUGAUGGGUUCUUGUAUGGUGUGCCAAAUUGAAGGCUGUGGAGGAAAUUGCAUUUUAGUAGGGAGAAGAGCAUUGGUUAAGUUUACAUAUGCGUGCUGGUGAUACAUAAUGUAAAUGAUGAAGCAUUUUUUUGUGUUGAAAAACGAUUAAGUGUACAAAGCGUUGCUUUUUCAUC